GACGAACGCUGGCGGCGUGCCUAAUACAUGCAAGUCGAACGCAGUUGGGACGGGUGAGUAACACGUGGGUAACCUCCCAUCAGAGGGGAUAACACUUGGAAACAGGUGCUAAACCGAUACUGAUGGAUGGACCCGCGGUGCAUUAGCUAGUUGGUGAGGGAACGGCUCACCCAGGCCACGAUGCAUAGGCGACCCGAGAGGGUGGUCGGCCACACUGGGAGUGAGAGACGGCCCAGACUCCUACGGGGGGAAGCAGUAGGGAAUCUUAGGCAAUGGACGAAAGUCUGACCGAGCAAAGCCGCGUGAGUGCAGAAGGUUUUCGGAUCGUAAAACUCUGUUGUUAGAGAAGCGGUAUCUAACCAGAAAGCCACGGCUAACUACGUGCCAGCAGCCGCGGUAAUUC
rnacentral:rRNA from 1 species